rnacentral:sRNA from 1 species
UGACCACUUUCUUUGAGGAAGUCAAGGGCCAUACGGACAGCCGGGUCAACUGCCGA